GACGAACGCUGGCGGCGUGCUUAACACAUGCAAGUCGAACGGAAAGGCGCUGAGUUUGUGGGGUUCUCGAGUGGCGAACGGGUGAGUAACACGUGAGUAACCUGCCCUUGACUUUGGGAGAACUUCAGGAAACUGGGGCUAAUACAGCAUAGGAUAUCCUGCUGCAUGGUGGGGGUUGGAGAGUUUCGGCGGUUGUGGAUGGUCUCGCGGCUUACGAGCUUGUUGGGGGGGUAGUGGCUGACCAAGGCUUUGACGGGUAGCCCGCCUUAGAGCGUGACCAGCCACCAUGGUCCUGCGGUACGCAGCAGUCUGCAACGUGAGGCAGCAGGCGGAAGUAUUGCACAGUGAGCCGGCGCGUGAUGCGACAGCCCCCCGUUCGUGAUGACGGCCUUUGGGUUGUGAACCGCUUUCGACUUAGCCGAGGAGAUAUUGACGGUAACUGGUAAAAAAGCACCGGCUAACUACGUG
rnacentral:rRNA from 1 species